rnacentral:rRNA from 1 species
AGAACGAACGCUGGCGGCAUGCCUAACACAUGCAAGUCGAACGAGACCUUCGGGUCUAGUGGCGCACGGGUGCGUAACGCGUGGGAAUCUGCCCUUGGGUUCGGGAUAACAGUUGGAAACGACUGCUAAUACCGGAUGAUGACUUCGGUCCAAAGAUUUAUUGCCCAGGGAUGAGCCCGCGUAGGAUUAGCUAGUUGGUGAGGUAAAGGCUCACCAAGGCGACGAUCCUUAGCUGGUCUGAGAGGAUGAUCAGCCACACUGGGACUGAGACACGGCCCAGACUCCUACGGGAGGCAGCAGUGGGGAAUAUUGGACAAUGGGCGAAAGCCUGAUCCAGCAAUGCCGCGUGAGGGAUGAAGGCUCUCGGGUCGUAAAACCCUCUUUUUCUCAGGGAAGAUCCAAGACGGUACCUGAGGAUAAGCGACGGCUAACUACGUGCCAGCAGCCGC